AACCCAUGGUGAGGGCACAUUCUUAACAGAUCCUUGUAUCUCUCCCAUGCGUCAUAGAGUGUUUCUAAAUCCAUCUGCACAAAAGAAGAGAUAUCAUUACGUAAUUU
rnacentral:snoRNA from 1 species